GCUUGCUUGUUGGGGUUGUAGGACACUCUAUACGGAGUUACAAAGGACGACAUUAGACGAAUCAUCUGGAAAGAUGAAUCAAAGAAGGUAAUAAUCCUGUAGUCGAAAAUGUUGUCUCUCUUGAGUGGAUCCUGAGUACGACGGAGCACGUGAAAUUCCGUCGGAAUCUGGGAGGACCAUCUCCUAAGGCUAAAUACUCUCUAGUGACCGAUAGUGAACCAGUACCGUGAGGGAAAGGUGAAAAGCACCCCGGAAGGGGAGUGAAAUAGAACCUGAAACCGUGUGCUUACAAGUAGUCAGAGCCCGUUAAUGGGUGAUGGCGUGCCUUUUGUAGAAUGAACCGGCGAGUUACGAUUUGAUGCAAGGUUAAGCAGUAAAUGUGGAGCCGUAGCGAAAGCGAGUCUGAAUAGGGCGUUUAGUAUUUGGUCGUAGACCCGAAACCAGGUGAUCUACCCUUGGUCAGGUUGAAGUUCAGGUAACACUGAAUGGAGGACCGAACCGACUUACGUUGAAAAGUGAGCGGAUGAACUGAGGGUAGCGGAGAAAUUCCAAUCGAACCUGGAGAUAGCUGGUUCUCUCCGAAAUAGCUUUAGGGCUAGCCUCAAGUGAUGAUUAUUGGAGGUAGAGCACUGUUUGGACGAGGGGCCCCUCUCGGGUUACCGAAUUCAGACAAACUCCGAAUGCCAAUUAAUUUAACUUGGGA
rnacentral:rRNA from 1 species